UUCAGCAGAAGACACAAGAAGGGUUUGGUGCAACUGAGAUCAGGCAGAGACGGGGAAGUUUGCAAAAGGAUCCUCCAAACUUGAAUAAACACAAAGGAGAUUCAGAGGAGAAGAAAGAAUCUGUAGAGGCUGCCAAACAUUCAGAAGACGCAUCAAAAAUCACCAUGGACUUCAAACAGUUUGUACUGAUACUGAUGGGUGCAUUCGGAGCACUUCUGGGAUCAGUCGCUGGAGCUGAAAGUGGAGUUAGGGGGUCUUUUAUCGGAGUAGUCGUUGGCAUCUUUGUAGGGGUUUUAGUCGCUAUUUUCAUCAUGUACAUUUAUACUCACAUUUAUUCAAAGCAGACUACACAAAGUAGGCCUACAUCAUAAGCAACUGAAUCAUAAGGAUCUGCAAAGUUGAUCAGGUGCAAGCUAGUUCAGACACACAGUACAAGUGCAAGCAGAAUAGUUUUUCCCCCCUUUUUUUAAUAAUUAUUUUUAAGUAUACAAGACAUUUACUAACGAAACACUGCAGUCUGAGAUGUUUGAAAAAUAGGGUGAAUACUUAAUAUGUUCUUGCAGAACUAAAUAUCAGUAUAAAUCCUAAACUAGUUAGCCUAUGCCUUUUUAAUUCUGGCGUAAAUUUAGGGUCAUACCACAUUUUGGCAGCUUUAUAUGCCUUAUUGUUUUUAAAGAUGUUCAUCCGAAGAAGCUAAAACGCAGAUGUGUGCAAUAUUUUGUUGUCUGUUGUGUUUAUGGAUUUGCCUGAUCUAUUGUGUGAAGGAGGAAAAGAGGAGUAGCCUACAGAAUCCCGUUUUAAAACACAGGAACCAGUGUUU